rnacentral:rRNA from 1 species
UGGGGAAUUUUGGACAAUGGGCGAAAGCCUGAUCCAGCCAUGCCGCGUGUCUGAAGAAGGCCUUCGGGUUGUAAAGGACUUUUGUCGGGGAGGAAAUCCCUAGCGUUAAUACCGCUGGGGGAUGACAGUACCUGAAGAAUAAGCACCGGCUAACUACGUGCCAGCAGCCGCGGUAAUACGUAGGGUGCGAGCGUUAAUCGGAAUUACUGGGCGUAAAGCGUGCGCAGGCGGUUUGAUAAGCCAGAUGUGAAAUCCCCGAGCUCAACUUGGGAACUGCGUUUGGAACUGUCAGGCUAGAGUGCGUCAGAGGGGGGUGGAAUCCCGCGUGUAGCAGUGAAAUGCGUAGAGAUGCGGAGGAACACCGAUGGCGAAGGCAGCCCCCUGGGAUGACACUGACGCUCAUGCACGAAAGCGUGGGGAGCAAACAGGAUUAGAUACCCUGGUAGUCCACGCCCUAAACGAUGUCAAUUAGCUGUUGGGGGUUAGAAUCCCUGGUAGCGUAGCUAACGCGUGAAAUUGACCGCCUGGGGAGUACGGCCGCAAGGUUA